AGAAAUAUUUGAAUUUCAAAUAAACAAUGAAAUAUUUUUUGUAGUGUAGGUACGUCCCAUGUAAUACUUGGGACAUACUUAUACUAAAAAAGUAUUCCAUUGUUUAUCUGAAAUUCAAAUUUAACUACGUGUCUU
rnacentral:miRNA from 1 species